AUUGAACGCUGGCGGCAGGCUUAACACAUGCAAGUCGAGCGGAGAUGAGGUGCUUGCACCUUAUCUUAGCGGCGGACGGGUGAGUAAUGCUUAGGAAUCUGCCUAUUAGUGGGGGACAACAUUCCGAAAGGAAUGCUAAUACCGCAUACGCCCUACGGGGGAAAGUAGGGGAUCUUCGGACCUUGCGCUAAUAGAUGCGCCUAAGUCGGAUUAGCUAGUGGGUGGGGUAAAGGCCUACCAAGGCGAUGAUCUGUAGCGGGUCUGAGAGGAUGAACAGCCACACUGGGACUGAGACACGGCCCAGACUCCUACGGGAGGCAGCAGUGGGGAAUAUUGGACAAUGGGCGGAAGCCUGAUCCAGGCAUGCCGCGUGUGUGAAGAAGGCCUUUUGGUUGUAAAGCACUUGAAGCGAGGAGGAGGCUACCUGGAUUAAUACUCUAGGAUAGUGGACGUUACUCGCAGAAUAAGCACCGGCUAACUCUGUGCCAGCAGCCGCGGUAAGAC
rnacentral:rRNA from 1 species